GGAGAACGCAAACGGCAGUGCAAAUGUUCGACCUUGGUGCUGUAGCCAGUUCUUCAGAGAAAUGUUUAGAGAAUUUACCUGGUACUUUACAAAUCGCUCUGGUAAGGUCGUGUUGUUGGGUCUAGUGGUUCUGGUCCUCAUCGCUGCUAAGUUUGGUGGGCCAUCUUUCAAACCGGGGAAUCUUUUCCAACCUCUGGGGAGAAUUAGGCAGGAACAUGAAGUCUUUGCCUUUGUAGAAAAAGGGGAAAUGAUUGGGCAAACAGAAAUACACCCGAGAACAGAAAAAAAUAUCAAUAACAUCACACAAGAAACGCCAAAAUCUGCAGAAAUGGGUCUUACAGUUAUGAGCACUGAUGUCAGGAGGAGACUGGCAUCUACACUGGCAGGGGUGUACAGAGAAGUCGUUCGUCUA